ACACGUAGGGGCCUGACGUUGUUCGGAAUCAUUGGGCGUAAAGGGCGCGCAGGCGGCCGUCCAAGUCCGGUGUUAAAUGGUCGGGCUCAACCCGAUCAUGCGCUGGAAACUGGGCGGCUUGAGUCCCGUAGGGGAUGCCGGAAUUCCAGGUGCAGGGGGGAAAUCUGUAGAUAUCUGGAAGAACACCGAUGGCGAAGGCAGGCAUCUGGCCGGAGACUGACGCUGAGGCGCGAAGGCGCGGGGAGCGAACAGGUUUAGAUACCCUGGUAGUCCGCGCAGUAAACGAUGCGCACCAGGUGUCGGGCGGCAGCGCCCGGUACCGGAGCUAACGCGAUGAGUGCGCCGCCUGGGGAGUAUGCCCGCAAGGGUGAAACUCAAAGGAAUUGACGGGG
rnacentral:rRNA from 1 species